GUUAUAUUGUCAUCAGAAAUACUUGUUCUGUAUUUAGAUUUUAUAAAAUGUGUACAUAAAAAUGUAUAGUUAAUGUGGCUGGCCCUGUGGCCUAGUGGUUGAGUUUGGCCCGCUCUGCCUCUGCUGCCCUGGUUCAGUUCCCAGCAGGAGACCUACACCACUCAUGGUCAGCCACGCUGUGACCGUGACCCACACACAAAUAGAGGAAGAUGGGCACAGAUGGUAGCUCAGGGACUAUGUUCCUCGCCAAAAAGAAAAAAGAAGUAUGGUUAAAAUGCAUACCCAAAUGUUUCCAAUCAUGCCAAGUUUUCAAAUAAUUGAAUAGAGCAUCAGUUUUCAAAUUUAAACUUAAAUUAGUUAAAGUUAAAUAAAGUUAAAAUUCCAUUCGUCAGUGGCACUGGGCCACAUUUCCAGCACUCAGUAGCCCCAUGGGUAGAGGCUGCCAUAUUGGACAGCCCAGAUCCACAGGCUAAGAAAUGAGCAUGUCCUGCCUGCUCGUGGAGGUUCUUUCUUCUCGAACCCUUUCUAAGCAACUACGGAGGAGGUUUUGGGGGACAUGUUGCAGAGGUCAAACCAAAGCAAAGAACUCCUCAAGAGGAAGUAUAAAUGCCAAGGCCCUCUUAUAUCCAACUGCCCUGGGGCCCAACUUUCUCCAUAGGAAUCUCCUCAGCAGCCCCCUGCCCAGACAUGUGGCUCAGGCACAGAAAGAAGAGAUGAAGCAGAUGUUGAGGAAGUGAGUUGGCCCCAUUAAAAGGAUCUCCCGAGGUCCAAGAUCAGCCAGACAUGGUUUCUGAAACUGCAACAAUACAGGCGUGCAGCACUCGACGCCUGCGGGCACUGGGCGCUACGGGCCACCGGUUCGCAACUGCUGAUAGAAACGAUGAUUCCGAUGAUUCAGUCACAGCCAGAACUCUGCAGUAGCUGCAUGGUGAUGGCAAAAUGUGCCGGCUCAUGGGGAACAUGCAGGAAAUUACAGAGAACAUCCUGGAAACACAGGCUGCGUCUCCUUUCUCUCCCUGUUUGUCUAUUUUUAAACUGUCAUCAGUUUCCAUUGCUGAGCACCUCCAGUGAAUUAGCAUCCAGAAGGGUGUCUGGCAGGGGCUCAGGAAACAGGUGGAAUGGCUGAAUGAAAGGUGACCUACAAAUUAUGCCGAAAAUCCUGUCAUCCUCAGCAGUUUACAAACAGGAUAUUCA
rnacentral:lncRNA from 1 species